rnacentral:rRNA from 1 species
AGAGUUUGAUCCUGGCUCAGGAUGAACGCUGGCGGCGUGCCUACCACAUGCAAGUCGAGCGAUCUUCUUCGGAAGAGAGCGGCGGACGGGUGAGUAACGCGUGGGUAACCUGCCCUGUACACACGGAUAACAUACCGAAAGGUAUGCUAAUACGGGAUAAUAUGCUUUUAUCGCAUGGUAGAAGUAUCAAAGCUCCGGCGGUACAGGAUGGACCCGCGUCUGAUUAGCUAGUUGGUAUGGUAAUGGCUUACCAAGGCGACGAUCAGUAGCCGACCUGAGAGGGUGAUCGGCCACAUUGGAACUGAGACACGGUCCAAACUCCUACGGGAGGCAGCAGUGGGGAAUAUUGCACAAUGGGCGAAAGCCUGAUGCAGCAACGCCGCGUGAGCGAUGAAGGCCUUCGGGUCGUAAAGCUCUGUCCUCAAGGAAGAUAAUGACGGUACUUGAGGAGGAAGCCCCGGCUAACUACGUGCCAGCAGCCGCGGUAAUACGUAGGGGGCUAGCGUUAUCCGGAAUUACUGGGCGUAAAGGGUGCGUAGGUGGUUUCUUAAGUCAGAGGUGAAAGGCUACGGCUCAACCGUAGUAAGCCUUUGAAACUGGGAAACUUGAGUGCAGGAGAGGAGAGUGGAAUUCCUAGUGUAGCGGUGAAAUGCGUAGAUAUUAGGAGGAACACCAGUUGCGAAGGCGGCUCUCUGGACUGUAACUGACACUGAGGCACGAAAGCGUGGGGAGCAAACAGGAUUAGAUACCCUGGUAGUCCACGCCGUAAACGAUGAGUACUAGCUUGUCGGAGGGUACCCCCUUCGGGGG